AACGAACGCUGGCGGCAGGCCUAACACAUGCAAGUCGAGCGAGGACUUCGGUCCUAGCGGCGGACGGGUGAGUAACGCGUGGGAACGUGCCCUUUGCUACGGAAUAGCCCUGGGAAACUGGGAGUAAUACCGUAUGUGCCCUUCGGGGGAAAGAUUUAUCGGCAAAGGAUCGGCCCGCGUUGGAUUAGGUAGUUGGUGGGGUAAUGGCCUACCAAGCCGACGAUCCAUAGCUGGUUUGAGAGGAUGAUCAGCCACACUGGGACUGAGACACGGCCCAGACUACUACGGGAGGCAGCAGUGGGGAAUCUGAGACAAUGGGCGCAAGACUGAUCUAGCCAUGCCGCGUGAGCGAUGAAGGCCUUAGGGUUGUAAAGCUCUUUCAGUGGGGAAGAUAAUGACGGUACCAACAGAAGAAGCCCCGGCUAACUCCGUGCCAGCAGCCGCAGUAAUAC
rnacentral:rRNA from 1 species